UGAGGAAUAUUGGUCAAUGGGCGAGAGCCUGAACCAGCCAAGUAGCGUGCAGGAAGACGGCCCUAUGGGUUGUAAACUGCUUUUGUAUGGGGAUAAAGUCAAUCACGUGUGAUUGUUUGCAGGUACCAUACGAAUAAGGACCGGCUAAUUCCGUGCCAGCAGCCGCGGUAAUACGGAAGGUCCGGGCGUUAUCCGGAUUUAUUGGGUUUAAAGGGAGCGUAGGCUGGAGAUUAAGUGUGUUGUGAAAUGUAGACGCUCAACGUCUGACUUGCAGCGCAUACUGGUUUCCUUGAGUACGCACAACGUUGGCGGAAUUCGUCGUGUAGCGGUGAAAUGCUUAGAUAUGACGAAGAACUCCGAUUGCGAAGGCAGCUGACGGGAGCGCAACUGACGCUGAAGCUCGAAGGUGCGGGUAUCGAACAGGAUUAGAUACCCUGGUAGUCCGCACAGUAAACGAUGGAUGCCCGCUGUUGGUACCUGGUAUCAGCGGCUAAGCGAAAGCAUUAAGCAUCCCACCUGGGGAGUACGCCGGCAACGGUG
rnacentral:rRNA from 1 species